rnacentral:lncRNA from 1 species
AAUGAAAUGAGGUAAAAAAGUAAAUUCGGAUAAAUCUAAAUAAGAGCAUACUUACUAUGGAUAUUGGUAUUGGUUGACACUGGUAUAUAAGUCAUGUUAUACUGUUGAAUAACAAGUCCUCAAAUUUUCUAAUUCUAGAUAAUUUUGGUGCUUGGGAGUCCCUAAUGAUUAAAUGAACCAAGAUUUUACCAUGACUGCAAUUUUAGAGA